rnacentral:rRNA from 1 species
GGGCCCGCACAAGCGGUGGAGCAUGUGGUUUAAUUCGAUGCAACGCGAAGAACCUUACCUGGUCUUGACAUACACAGAAUCUUGUAGAGAUACGAGAGUGCCUUCGGGAAUUAGAAUACAGGUGCUGCAUGGCUGUCGUCAGCUCGUGUCGUGAGAUGUUGGGUUAAGUCCCGCAACGAGCGCAACCCUUGUCCUUAGUUACCAGCGGGUUAAGCCGGGAACUCUAAGGAUACUGCCAGUGACAAACUGGAGGAAGGCGGGGACGACGUCAAGUCAUCAUGGCCCUUACGACCAGGGCUACACACGUGCUACAAUGGUAGGUACAGAGGGCAGCUACACAGCGAUGUGAUGCGAAUCUUUCAAAGCCUAUCGUAGUCCAGAUUGGAGUCUGCAACUCGACUCCAUGAAGUAGGAAUCGCUAGUAAUCG